rnacentral:rRNA from 1 species
GAUGAACGCUGACAGAAUGCUUAACACAUGCAAGUCGAUGGGGAAGUGGUGCUUGCACCAUGGCAACCAUGGCGGACGGGUGAGUAACGCGUAAGGGACUUACCUGCAGGACUGGGAUAACAGGGGGAAACUCCUGACAAGACCGGAUAAUGUCAUGGAGCUGCAUGGCUUUGUGAUGAAAGGAGACGCCUGCGGAGAGCCUUGCGUCCUAUUAGCUAGUUGGUGAGGUAAUGGCUCACCAAGGCGAAGAUAGGUAGCCGGCCUGAGAGGGUGGACGGCCACAAGGGGACUGAGAUACGGCCCUUACUCAUACGGGAGGCAGCAGUGGGGAAUAUUGGACAAUGGGGGCAACCCUGAUCCAGCAAUUCUGUGUGCACGAAGAAGGUUUUCGGAUUGUAAAGUGCUUUCAGAAGGGACGAAGUAAGUGACGGUACCUGCAGAAGAAGCGACGGCUAACUACGUG